GUAACCUAAGUAAAGGGGUUAGAAGAGCAACGGCCUUCUAAGCCGUGGGUCACAGGUUCGAAUCCUGUAGGGCGUG
rfam:Aeromonas sp. RT39B genome assembly, contig: Ga0136726_108